rnacentral:rRNA from 1 species
AUUGAACGCUGGCGGCAUGCUUUACACAUGCAAGUCGAACGGUAACAGGCCUUCGGGUGCUGACGAGUGGCGAACGGGUGAGUAAUGCAUCGGAACGUACCCAGAGGUGGGGGAUAACGCAGCGAAAGCUGUGCUAAUACCGCAUGUGAUCUGAGGAUGAAAGCGGGGGACCAAGCAGCAAUGUUUGGCCUCGCGCCUUUGGAGCGGCCGAUGUCGGAUUAGCUAGUUGGUGGGGUAAAGGCCUACCAAGGCGACGAUCCGUAGCUGGUCUGAGAGGACGACCAGCCACACUGGGACUGAGACACGGCCCAGACUCCUACGGGAGGCAGCAGUGGGGAAUUUUGGACAAUGGGCGCAAGCCUGAUCCAGCAAUGCCGCGUGCGGGAAGAAGGCCUUCGGGUUGUAAACCGCUUUUGGCAGGAACGAAACGGUGUCCGCUAAUACCGGGCGCUAAUGACGGUACCUGCAGAAUAAGCACCGGCUAACUACGUG